rnacentral:misc_RNA from 1 species
GCACGGACGGGACUCGUAGCCACUCGUCAAUACCAAUCCUUCCACCAGGAGAUUUUGGAAGGUCCAGAGAUUUUACUAGAGGUGAGGGUCCAACACCAGUAGACCAUACCAAUAAACCAUAUGGAACCUCUGAGCCAUCAUUAAGAAUUAGUUUCUGAGGCUCAACAUCUUUGACAAUCCCACGGACAAGGCGAACACCUGACUUUGUCAACUGCUUAGUAGCAUAACGACGGAGCCGAUCAUCAAAGGAAGAUAAUAUCUCAUUCGCCUCAAUCAAUGUAACAUGGAUAUAAUCUUUCACAUGGGCAUAUCUUUGACGAACAUCUCUCAUGAUAAAAUCACUAAGUUCACCACUGAAUUCAACUCCAGUGGGGCCACCUCCAACAACAACACAAUGUAACAAUCUUCUCUUCUCUUCUUCUGAAAUACCAGGUACAUCAGAAAGCAUCAAGUUCAGGAGUAGCUUUCUCCGAAUUUCCUGGGCAUGGUGAACUUCCCGAAGAAAAAUUGCAUGUUCUUUGACACCCUGGAUCCCAAAUGUUGAGGCCUCUGCUCCUAAUGCAAUUACCAAUUUGUCAUAUGAGAUAUCGAACUUCCGUGGAUCCAUGGUGUAUCCAUCAGUAACGGUCUGACAAUGCACCAAAUGGUUAUGAGUAUCGAGACCAGUGCAGUUGGCGAGAAAGUAGAAGGAUCCGGGUUCCUUAGAAAUGGCAGGCUGGAUGCGGGCGAUGGGUUCAGCCACUGACCUGAACUCGAGGGUGCCGACACAAGUGGAAGCCAGCAGAGGGGUGAAGACCAUGUGGUUCCGGGGGGAUACGCAAACGACAUCGUACAACUUGGUGUCUAUGCCCUUCAUGAGGCGGCAGCCAGCCCAGCCCGACCCCAACACGACGACCCUUGGUUUCUCAUUGGGCUUGGUGGGGCCUAGGCCGCCAUACUGUGUUGGCGACGGUGAUGAACGGUUGUGAUUGUGAAGGGAGGCGUCGGUGGUGAAAUGGGAGAGAGAAGAGAACAAAAAGUUGGGAGAAGUAGUUAAAAUCAGGGGUUUGGCUGUGAUGGAUGGAGAAGAUGCUGAUUUGAUAGCUGAGAAUCGAAUUAGGUUCCCAACCCAAGCCAUGGCUGUGCCGGUGCGUUAUCCAAGAUGUUUGGCGACGAUCGAUAUCAAAUUCAACAGACCAG